AUCAAUAGAAAUCUAAUUCCCUCCUCUCAAAAAGCAAUAAUCUUCUUCCUCCCACCUUCUUUAACCUAAAACAGUUAUCUCAUCCUGUGACCCUUACCGAUCAAUCGAUCCUCACUCUUACUUGAAAAAUGACUCACCUCCCCUCAAAUCGCUUUCACGAGUCUACCUUUGACCAUCACACAUCAACAGGUGUGUGGCAUGUUGAUUCUUUCAGCCUUCAUCCGUAUCAUAUUCUUCAUCGCAGCUGUUGCAACCGUUCUACACCAGCAAUCGGCUCUCCUGGAUUACUUCGAUUACAAUCACCUACAUCACCUUCCAAUCGACCUCUCUUCAUUUGACUUCAAACCGUGGUCUAUACUCUGCUAAUGUCAUCGCUUCUACGGGUGAGAUCACAACACCUGCAGCUAUGGGCCAACAGCCUUUGACUGCUAGCACAAUUAAAGCAAUCUCUUUUAAAGAUGUACUUAAUUGUGUCAUUUGGAUGUGCAUGCCUUUAAUGGUUGAGGUUGGUUUGAUGCAAUUUUUAACUUCCCUUUGGAAACAGUCCCGUUAAAGCAGGUUGAUCCACUAUGUGUUGCUGCCAGACAAGAUGGGAAGAUAUUAGUCUCUAGUCUGUGGGUUGAUCACAGUUUUGAUGUCGGAGCGUCUGUGGAUACAACCUUGGUAAUAUACGUACCGGUGAGAGAUUUGAAUGGGAUUCCAGGUGCAACGUCACUAGUUAUAUGUUUGACAGGAUAUCAACGUGAAAAUCGAGAGGACAUUAUGACCAUGGUUGAAUUGAUGGGGGCACAAGUUUCGAAACCGUUGAUUGCAACAAAGGUGGCUUUUUUACCGAACAAGAUAUUAAGAGCCUACCAUGUUUACAGGUGAUGGGAAUUCUGACAACUAGGGGUAUUGAAAAAACCACCCAAUCUUUUGGCUGAAGAGCUUUAAGUGGUGUCAAAAGAAGUUGAGUAUAGUCAGUUGGCUGAUGUAGCGACAAUAAGUAGUAAGUGCUGGGAACUAUGAAGUGGAAGUAUGACUACUAAGAAAACGUUAACACGGUGAUUAUUUAACUCGCAUGAAGAUUGUGAAAGAGGUCAUGAACACAAUGAAGUUUGGAGUUUUUAUUCAUACACUUGUUAGUUUAUUUGAGUUAUAUGUUUGAUCAUUAGACGUAGAUCGACACUUAUUAGACAUUUGGAAUCUU